CUUGGCUGCCCCCAGCCCCGCCCAUGUCUCAGCCCCAAGACCUUCUGGGACUUUUUUUUUUUUUAGACAAGAGUUUCGCUCUUCUUUCGCUCUUGUUGCACAGGCUGGAGUGCAGUGGCGUGAUCUGGGCUCACUGCAACCUCCACCUUCUGGGUUCAAGCCUCAGCCUCCCGAGUAGCCACCACGCCCAGCUAAUUUUUGUAUUUUUAAUAGAGACAGGGUUUCACCAUGUUGGCCAGUCUGGUCUGGAACUCCUAACCUCAGGUGAUCCGCCCGCCCCAGCUUCCCAAAUUGCCGGGAUUACAGGUGUGAACCACCAUGGCAGCCCUUCUGGCACUUGCCAGCAGCAGCAAGAGCCUCACGUGUCCCCCGCCUCCCCUCAGACCAAGCUCCCCACCGCUGCCGCCACAGAGGGUACCAGGGAGGAGAGGCUCAGGACCCCCGUGGCGAGGAUGCACCUCCCAGCCCUCGGCCCAGCCACACGGACCACAGGGCUCCCGAGUCUCAGCAACACCAGCUAAGGGGCAUCAUGCCUCUCCUGCCACACCCAGGGCCCGUGCCUUGCUGUCCCUGCAGCCCCCAGACCCAGGCAGACAGGGACAGCCCUUCUGACCACCGCACACACUCGCCACCGCAAAGAUCCCCGGGGAUGCCCCUCGCCUGUGUGUGUCCCUCAUGGCUGUCACAGCAAAUCUCCAGGAGCCCGGAGGUGCCCAUGGAAAACACCCCCAGCUUCCGGAACGUUCUUUCGGACAGGGCCAUACCGGAGCAAGACUCAGCUUUCUGGUAGCGGGUGGCUGGGCACUGCCUGUGAGAUUCUGUCACACUCGCUCCAGAUUCAAGGGGUCCAAAAAGUGUAAACAAGUCAAGUGCCCAUCCAGGGAUGAACGAACACAGCCCGGCCCGGCCACACCAUGGAGCAGGACUCGGCCAUGAACAGGAACCAGGCUCUGACACCGGCCACGGCGCAGAUGCCCCUGGAGGAGUCCACCCUCAGCAAGAGACACACAGACACCGACACGGCGUGCAAUCCCAUUUGUGUGAAUGUCCAGGACAGGCCGAUUCAGAGACAGGAAGGGGACACGUGGGUGCCAGUGACUGGGGAUUAUGGGGACUGGGGGAAAUGGCUAAAGGGCACCCACAAAAGUUAAUGAUAAUGUUCCACAGUUUUUUUUUUGAGAUGGAGUCUCACUCUUGUCACCCAGGCUGGAGUGCAAUGGUGUGAUCUCUGCUCACUGCAAGCUCUGCCUCCUGGGUUCACGCCAUUCUCCCUCCUCAGCCUCCCAAGUAGCUGAGAUUACAGGCAUAUGCCACCACCCCCAGUAGAGACGGGGUUUCACCAUGUUAGCCAGGCUGGUCACGAACUCCUGACCUCAAGUGAUCCCCCACCUCGGCCUCCCAAAGUGCUGGGAUUACAGGCAUGAGCCACCGUGCCUCACCAGAAUUGUGUACUUUUUUUUCUUCUUCUUCUUCGGCAUGGAGUUUCGCUCUUGUUGCCCAGGCUGGAGUGCAAUGGUGCAAACUUGGCUCACCGCAACCUCCUCCUCCCGGGUUCAAUAGAUUCUCCAGCCUCAGCCUGCUGAGUAGCUGAGAUUACGGGCGCCCGCCACCACACCCAGCUAAUCUUUGUACUUUUAGUAGAGACAGGGUUUCACCAUGUUGGCCACGGGCAAAAGAAUUUUGUUGAGGGCAAAUAAUAUGAGACCACAAAACUGCCUUCCCUGCUCAGUUUUAAUUUUCACAGUUUUAAUUUUUAGCCUUCUCUGGUUACCAAAAUAACCACGCUCACGGCCGUUCAUUUGAAGAUAUUUCCAGUUAACGUGUGUGAAGUGGGUUUUUUGAGAUGUAAUUUACAAGCAAUAAAAUGCUCCUGUCUCUGC
rnacentral:lncRNA from 1 species